AGGGGUUUAGGUUAAUUCUAAACCAAGAGCCUUCAAAGCUCUCAAUGGAGGUUACACCCCUUCAACCCUUG
rnacentral:tRNA from 1 species